rnacentral:rRNA from 1 species
AGUUAUCGUUAUAUUUGAUAGUACCUCACUACUUGGAUACCUGUGGUAAUUCUAGAGCUAAUACAUGCUAAAAACCUCGACUUCGGAAGAGGUGUAUUUAUUAGAUAAAAAACCAAUGCCCUUCGGGGCUCCCUGGUGAUUCAUAAUAACUUCACGAAUCGCAUGGCCAUGCGCCGGCGAUGGUUCAUUCAAAUUUCUGCCCUAUCAACUUUCGAUGGUAGGAUAGUGGCCUACCAUGGUUUCUACGGGUAACGGGGAAUUAGGGUUCUAUUCCGGAGAGGGAGCCUGAGAAACGGCUACCACAUCCAAGGAAGGCAGCAGGCGCGCAAAUUACCCAAUCCCGAUACGGGGAGGUAGUGACAAUAAAUACUGAUACAGGGCUCUUUCGGGUCUUGUAAUUGGAAUGAGUACAAUUUAAAUCCCUUAACGAGGAACAAUUGGAGGGCAAGUCUGGUGCCAGCAGCCGCGGUAAUUCCAGCUCCAAUAGCGUAUAUUAAAGUUGUUGCAGUUAAAAAGCUCGUAGUUGAAACUUGGGCCUGGCUGGCCGGUCCGCCUCACCGCGUGCACUGGUCCGGCCGGGCCUUUCCUUCUGGGGAGCCGCAUGCCCUUUGUUGGGUGUGUCGGGGAACCAGGACUUUUACUUUGAAAAAAUUAGAGUGUUCAAAGCAGGCCUAUGCUCGGAUACAUUAGCAUGGAAUAAUAGAAUAGGACGUGUGGUUCUAUUUUGUUGGUUUCUAGGACCGCCGUAAU